rnacentral:sRNA from 1 species
UGGAUGUGAAUGCUGUAAGGAGCUGAAUC